rfam:Corchorus olitorius cultivar O-4 contig23232, whole genome shotgun sequence.
AUGUCAUGUUGAGGACAAUCUUCACAAAGCUUCUUGAAUCUUUCCCAAACUUGUUAAAAAUUCUCAUCUUUGUGCUGUUGAAAGUUUGCAAUCCAUUGUCUCCCCUU